UUUGUUGGUUCAUCUGUUUAUGUUCCCCUGUGUACCUGUUACCUGCGUGUAGAAACCUGUUGGCUGUUCCCGUCUGCCUGACGAAACGUUAACAUUGUGCUUCCCUUCUCACCUCUGGAUGGUGCUCAGGGUUGACGCCAGGGCCAGAGACUUCUGUUGAUACUUCUACCUGGGGCAGCAGUCAGCACCUGGUGGAAACACCCCACCAAAGUACAACAAGUGAGCAGUAGCAGCAGCUUAGGUGAUGGAAUAAGAUGAUGAGAGCUGUGUGCCCAGUGGGUUUACCACGUUUUUAUCAGGAAGUUGUGGAAAGCCCAGCAGUUGAGUUAGCAGAGAAAGAUAACAGCCAACAAAACAGUACAGCACAUGUGUUGCCUCCAUGUCACUCCCAGUUCCACGGCCGACUAUGCAGACCAACCAGUAGAAGUCAAUAGCGCUGUGACGAGGAGGAUGGCGUCCAUUCUAACACAACGGCCAAGAUAAAAAGUAACUGCCCUGCAAGACCAGCCACUGUGCUACAAUAUGACAAUGUUAAAAACAGCCCUCAGUGCAAGACGCUACCUGGGACAUAGACGGCCCUGCCAGACGCAGAGGCCAGCCCUCAGGGUUAAAAAGGGUCGAUUCAAAGACCAUGCCAACAUUAAGAAAUAGCAGAGAUAAUUCCCAUGGUAAAGACGCUAGCUGGGUGUCACUGGUGCUGCCAGGUGGAAUCGCUACGUUGGGAAUCGCUGGUCCUGCCAGACGCAGAGGCCAGUUGUCAGUGGCAAACAGGGUCACUGCAGCCAUCCUGCCAGAUGCUUCGGUGAGAUACCUUUGGGGUGGUUCGUCAGCCCUGUAGAGCAAUGUGGAGUUAGUCUGAGUCGCUCUCAUCAGACCACCUCGGCCUCUUAGCAACGGCCCCCUUCUCGUCGCUCUCUUCCCUGCUCCUCCUUGUUGCGGAGCUGAGGCCAGAAGUUGAGGGAACUACAGCUUCUUCUUCCAGAGAGCUAUCACUCCUAAAGAAUCCUAAGCACUCCGCUGUGGUGAGCGGCCCAAUGGUCUCAGGAUAACCGAGACCAAACACUUCAAGUUCAGGGAUCACAAUUUCAUCCUCUUCAUCCACACCAAUGGCAUCAAUUCCAGGAUCCUGUUCAAGUCUCUCAUGCUGGUUCCUGGCAAUUAGCUGCUCGAGAACACCAUGAGGAUCAGCAUGAAAAAGAGCAGGAUUGGCAGGAGGAGCAGCAUAAGGAAAAGCAUGAGGAGCAGCGUAAGGAGGAACAUACGGAGCAGCAUGACGAGGGGUAUAAGGAGGAAGAUAAGGAGGAUCAUAAGCAAAAGCAAAAGGAUUAGCAUUGGGAGGAACAUAAGGCCGAACAUAAGGAGGCGCAAAAGGAUUAGCAUAUGGUAAAGCAUGAGGGAGAGCAUUAAGCAAAGCAUAAGGGUAAGCAUUGGGAAAAACGAUAGGGAAGGCAUAGGGGUCAGCAUAGGGAAGAGGAUAAUAAACAGGAAUUUCAACAGCAGCACCCUGUUGUCUCCAGUCCAUCCCAACGUUCGGUGGUAGGAACUGCUGAAGUGGAGCAGCCCGAUCAUCAUCAUGAUUCAGUUCUUCCUCUCUUUCCUCUCCUCUCCUGCUGUUGGGCUGGUUAAACCCGCCAUGAUCCUCAUUUUCAUCAUCUCUAUGAGGGGGGACAGGAGGACUGUCGUUGAUCCUGUUCUCCUCAGGCCUUUCAGCGUCGGGGCGUUCAGUGUUGUUGUUCAAUGGCCCAAAGAAGGCACCUGAGGUGGAAAUGAGCAUUAAAAAAGUUGCCUUCUGCAUUUUUCCGUAAAACAGACUCGAACAAGAGGCUUAAAGGCCUAAUCAAUAAAUGGGACCAUGUAAGUAGCUCGUAUACUCCCAAACCUAACUGUGAAUACUGUACUUCACAAAAUGCAUCACAAGCACCCUGUAGAGAAGCCUCCAACACACAAAGUGCUACUGCCACCUUUACAUGUAAUAUCAAAUACAGUGCAGCUCUGCUACUGUUUGUUUUCAACAUGUGACAUGAUGAGAGUCAUGUGAUUCUGCAUUCAUGCUGCAGUAAGAACUACCGGUUACGCUUCUUCUUUACUGAUGCAACAAUUCAAUCUACAAGUUCUUUGUCAGGAAAACAUCUGGGUCACCCCAAAACAGGCUGUACAAAGACAAAAAGAAGGCUGUAGCCCAUAGGGACGUAUGUGAUACGCACUGUGUCACCCCAUAGUUUAAAUGAGUUUUAAUUAUAUAGAUAGUAAAGACAAAAUGACAUGUAAUUUCAACUAUUUUACACUAUAAAGAAGAGGACAUCUAAAUUAUUGCGAUAUCAGCCCGAUAACCAGACAUAAUGGCAGUGGUGGAAGAAGUCAGAUCUUGAGUAAAAGUAGCAAAACCAGAGUUUAACAAUACUCCAUUACAAGUUAAAGUUCUGCAUUCAAUAGCAAAGUUUAUUAGGAAGUAUGCGAUAUGUUGUUAGCUUAUUGCUACUGAUGCAUUAACAUGUAAGCAACCUUUUAACGCUGUAGCUGAUUGAAAUGGAGCUGAUUUGAACUAGUUUGUAAACUUUAGGUGGUCUACUCUGUUGCAAUGCAUCCUAUUUUAUAAAUGGAUCAUAUGCUUUGUAUGUAAUAUCUUAAUCUGCAAAGUAACUAGUAACUAUGGCUUCGACGUGUGAAGUAGUAAAAGUAGCAUCAAAUGGAAAUACUCAAGUAAAGUACAACUAUUUCUAAACUGUCCAAAUUGAGUACCGAAUUUGAGUAAAUGCACUUAGUUACAUUCCACCACUGCUUCAUUACCGGUUGGCUUCUGUCCAUUCAUGAAGACAGGAAUCAUUGAAGAUCUAAGUAAGCCAGAGAUCUGGAGAACCAGGCCGCUCAGAGAGCCAGACUUUUCACACCGGCUGCUGUCGCAGUGGAUGAGUCGCACAUAACGGGGUGCGUGAAGCAGGACGCGCACAGUCACUGCAUGAGGAAACCACUCUCCUCUCUUCUCUUCUCACGUUGCACUACAUUAUGAAAAUACCAACAUGUCAGGUACAGGCAUUAGGAGGGAUGACUGAGCACGGCAGGUCUGUAUGUAGGUCCAACUUGUGGCUGACUAUCUCUUCCACUCAUCAGACUUAUCAGAUCAUCAAACCAGGUGGGAUAUGAGAAGACGUCUUACCUGCAUAGUAGCUGAUCCAGCGUCUGACUCUGGCCAGCAGGCGCUCCUCCGUGGGGCGUCCAUUAAAAGCCAUUUUUCCAGCAGCAGGCCACUCUCUCAAUGAAAGUUUUUCCUCCGGGUCUUUCUUCAGUGUCGAACAGCUGGUCCUGCAGUAGACCUUUUCCAGGUGAGCGGCUCCACGAGUGCAGCUUCCGGCGGACAGGUUUUGAAUCGGGUCAAGUCCAAGUGCUAUUGAUAAAGUUUCAGACACUUUUAACUCAAAUCUAUCACCGCGGGUUACGUCAUCAUCCUGCUUCCACGACUUUGACGCGAGUGCAAGCGUGUGCACGAGAGCCACGCUCCGCAGUAAAUAAAUGAUAAAACGUCUGGA